UUGCAGAUAUAUAAAGGAAUGCCAGUAGCGAAGGCGACUUUUUAGUAUAAACUGACGUUAAGGAACGAAAGUGUAGGUAGCAAACAGGAUUAGAUACCCUGGUAGUCUACACUGUAAAUUCUGAGUGCUGUAAUUUAAUUGUAAUGUAAUAUUUAUUUAGAUUUUCAAGCUAACGCAAUAAGCACUCCGCCUGAAGAGUACGAUCGCAAGGUUGGAACUCAAAGGAAUUGACGGGGGUCUAACACUAGUGGUGGAGCAUGUGGUUUAAUGCGAUAAUCCGCGCAAAACCUUACCAAUUCUUGACAUAAAUAUUUUUAUAAAACUUGCAUUAUAACAUUAUAAAACAAAGUUUUUAUUAAUUUUUACAGGUGUUGCACGACUGUCGUCAGCUCGUGUCGUGAGAUGUUUGGUUAAGUCCUUAAACGGGUGCAACUCUUAUCUUUUAAUUUAUUUACAAACAAAAAUUUAUUGAUAAAUUUUUAAGCUUUAAAGAUACGGUCAACGAUAAGUUGAAGGAAGGUAAGAAUGAGGUCAAGUCAAUGUGACCCUUAUGAAUUGGGCUACACAUGUGCUACAAUGAAAAUUACAAAAAGUGACAAAAAAGAAAUUUUGAGUUAAUCUACAAAAAUUUUCCCAGUUCGGAUUGUAGACUGCAACUCGUCUACAUAAAGUUGGAAUCACUAGUAAUCGCGAAUCAGCACGUUGCGGUGAACAUGUAAAUUGGCCUUGUACACACCGCCCGUCACUUGCAAAGAGUUAGUCUUGCUUGAAGAUUUUUAUAAAAUCUAUUGAGAGAUGAUGAU
rnacentral:rRNA from 1 species